UACGGAGGGUGCGAGCGUUGUCCGGAAUCACUGGGCGUAAAGGGCGCGUAGGCGGCGCGGGGAGUCAACGGUGAAAGCUCGGCGCUCAACGCCGAGUCGGCCGUCGAUACUCCCGUGCUUGAGCACUGUAGAGGCAGGUGGAAUUCCGGGUGUAGCGGUGGAAUGCGUAGAGAUCCGGAGGAACACCGGUGGCGAAGGCGGGUCUCUGGGCCGAUACUGACACUGAGAAGCGAAAGCGUGGGGAGCGAACAGG
rnacentral:rRNA from 1 species